rnacentral:rRNA from 1 species
GACGGAGGGCGCUAGCGUUGUUCGGAAUCACUGGGCGUAAAGGGCGCGUAGGCGGCCAUGUAAGUCGGGGGUGAAAGCCCGGGGCUCAACCCCGGAACGGCCUUCGAGACUGCGUGGCUGGAGACCGGAAGAGGAGGGUGGAAUACCCAGUGUAGAGGUGAAAUGCGUAGAUAUUGGGUGGAACACCAGUGGAGAAAGCGGCUCUCUGGUCCGGUUCUGACGCUGAGGCGCGAAAGCGUGGGGAGCAAACAGG